AGACUGAAUGAGCCAUGCAGGAUGAAAGACAGCAAGCGAUCUGACUAUUGGGGAGACACCUGUAACAACAUCACCAACCAAGGUUAGGGUAAUGGAGAAUUUCUAUAAGAAAGGCCUUACUACUUUCUGAUCAUAUCUUGGAUGUAUCAUAAACCAAACAUCCUACUUUUAGUCCAUUCAAAUCAAUUGUGUGUAUCAUCUAUAAGAAAAAAUGUGGGAUAUUUGGGAGCAUCUACAGGAACACUAUACAGUGGAACUAUAAUAUGAAUACCCCUGAACCACAUGAAAAGUUAAAAUUAUACUCUCCUGUGCCAGGAAGAGAGCUACAAUCGAGAUGAGUUUAUUUAUGG